ensembl:lncRNA
GAACAUGGCAUGCAAAUCAGCAUUAUUUUUAGGACUUUGUAGCAGGGUGAGAAGAGAUCACAGAAUCUUAGAACGUCCAAACUGUGAGGAAGUCUAAAAAUCAGUGCACCUUCUUUUUAUAUAUUGGGUGCGCAGAGCACUAGUGUCAGAAGUGUGAAUGAUGUUGGCUCUUAGCCGGAGUUUAGGCCUCGGAGCUGAAAGAAGAUGCCUCCUCUCCCUCUCUGAGGCUGACAGGUGAAGAAGUGUGCUUUGAAUACAUGUUUUCCAGACUUUUCGUUUUGUAUUGGGACAUAGCUGAUUGACAAUGUUGUGAUAGUUUCAGGAUCAGAGUGGUUACAAGUCUUGUCAUAUACAGAAGAUAUGAGUGG